rnacentral:rRNA from 1 species
UACGUAGGCAGCAAGCGUUGUUCGGGGUUACUGGGCGUAAAGGGUGUGUAGGCGGUUGUUUAAGUUUGGUGUGAAAUCUCCCGGCUCAACUGGGAGGGUGCGCCGAAUACUGAAUGACUAGAGUGUGGGAGAGGUGAGUGGAAUUCCUGGUGUAGCGGUGAAAUGCGUAGAUAUCAGGAGGAACACCGGUGGUGUAGACGGCUCACUGGACCAUAACUGACGCUGAGACACGAAAGCGUGGGGAGCAAAAGGG